AGUUUUUUUCUAAAGGAAGGCCGUAGCUUGCUGUCGCGACCACACCCGCACCGUCUCAGGCUCACCGGUCACCGCUCACACCAGCUAUGUCUUCGGCGAUCGUCGGUUUCGCCACGAGCUCGACGGCAUCGACGAGCGAGCAUCCCUCGGCUUGGCGCUCCUAAGAAGCCAUGAUCUGAUCGAUAUGCCUUUCGGCAGUUGCCCUGGGAGGGUGGGAGCCUGGGAGGGGUCUCAUAUCCACCCGCGGCCCGCGGGCAAUCCUGGAAUGCGCGCAAGGACUGUGGACCUGAACUGAACAUUUCAAUGACUGAAAACAUGAAGAGAGAAGAUUCUGCAAAGCUUGUGAUCUCAUGCUACAUGGUAUCAGAUUCCACGUGGCCUUCCCGCGUGUGGAACGAUGUUGGGAUUAGAGGUUGCAUGGAGUAGUGCUGCCAGUGAGCCCAACAUGAAAAUGAUGGAUUGCAAAAUCUUCACUGGGCCAACUGUGUAUAGACACGUAAGAAAACGGUGUGGCAUCCCAUUCCUUCCAAAAGCAUAACCAGGAAUAAUUUGCAAUCCAUUCCCUUGAAUUUAACACCUCUUUACUUUUAACAACAUGUCCUAAUUUCUGUACACUAAAAAAAGAUCGAUUUUACCUUCACCGUGAAAUAUCCCUUGUGUUUUUUGUGCAGCUAAAACAACAAUAGUUGAAAGAUAGGAACUACUGGACCAAUGAAAAAGAAAAUGAUGAGAGGGGGUAAAUAGAGGGCUCACCACCUUCGAUUGUUAUAUGGUGUAUUUCAUUGUAGAUGCCAACUUGUAUUGGAAUGUUAGAUCUGCAUUGUCAUUAUGAACUCUUUGAAAUGUAUUGAUUUUCAUUUAUAAAUUUAAAGCUGGAUAUUUAUGUAGACAUAGUCUUGUCUGAAUCAACAAACUUAAUUUUGUAUUCUUCUGUUAAGAAUGUAAGCUAAAUACAUGUUGAAUAACCA